rnacentral:rRNA from 1 species
UACCAGCACCCCGAGUGGUCGGGACGUUUAUUGGGCCUAAAGCAUCCGUAGCCGGUUCUACAAGUCUUCCGUUAAAUCCACCUGCUCAACAGAUGGGCUGCGGAAGAUACUAUGGAGCUAGGAGGCGGGAGAGGCAAGCGGUACUCGAUGGGUAGGGGUAAAAUCCGUUGAUCCAUUGAAGACCACCAGUGGCGAAGGCGGCUUGCCAGAACGCACUCGACGGUGAGGGAUGAAAGCUGGGGGAGCAAACCGG